AAUGUGUUUUAUUGUCUUAGUUACAGACUGACCUUUUGGGGUUUUGUUUUAUUUGUAUUCUAGGUCAGAAAUCUACUUCUGGAAAGGCUUUGGGAGCUGUCUCGGUUCCAGGAAAAGAGUUGCAGCACGACUGAGGAUGAUGUAUUGAAAUUAAUCAGGCUGGUUCAAGACUAGCUUGUUUUACUAGCUAGUAUAGUUUGUUUUGUUGGUGCCUCAGGAUUCGUGCCACAGCACAGCAAUUUAAUACAAAAAAUAAAGCUAAUAAAGAUCAAGAGCUUUAAAUAGACACCGGAUAGAACUGGAGCUCUCAUAAGUGGCGUACAUUAACACGCAAUUAGAAGAACUCGAUCCCACUUCUGUGCCUGGAUACUGUAACUAAUCUAGCUUGCUAGCUCAUAAGCACUUUAUCUGAAUCGUCGAUUUAUCUGUCUAGCUGACUGGAUAAUAAAGUGGCGUUUACGUUACGUGAUCAGCAAUUUCUUUAGAGAAUUGCUGAUCACACAAGCUUUCCACUAAAGUUGCUGUUGCUAAAUCUGUGUCCAGUUUCAUCCCCCUCCCCCACCCUUUUAUUUUUGUAAAAUCAGCUCUAAAAUGUCCUCGUUUCAUUAUUUUUGGUGAUGUUUGUUAUGCUUUAAAAAAAAAAAAAGUUUAUCCCCAUAGUAAGCUCAAAAAGACAAGCGGAGUUAAGAUGGAGGCAGCAUGAGGAUGAGCUUGGUGAAGUGUCUAUAACAAGACUGAUGAGAAAGGAGACAAUCAAGCAUUCUGUCUGUCUGUCAUUGAAGUCUUAUUAUAUUUUAUAAGGCUUUUGAAUCAGAUGGAUUUUCCACACUUUGUUGGAAGCACCUGACAACAGGAACCAGUCGAAUAAUGAAAGCUUGAAUAGGCAGAACUUUCCGACUUGACAAGGACCUCCCCUUGAUGUCGUACCUUUUUCUUGGGCUGAAAUCACCCACGGGGCUUUCUAUAACGUCGAUGUAGUGAUCACAUCGUGUUCGGUUUGGCUUUCUUCAGUGAAGCUUAAAUGAAUGCCUUUAAGGUAAGUGUUUAUUAUUCUGCAAUAAUUCCCCAUGUGGAUUGUCAGUGCUACAGUAUGAGAAAUGCUAAAUAGCAUAUUACAUUUUUGUUCUUGAAUUAAAAAAAAGUUAUAGAAGUCAGAAACAUUGCUUUAGUCAGCGGUAAGCAUGACGUAUGAGGUGUUCGGCUUUUUACAGAACCCCAGGGGAUUAAGGGUGUGUGUGUGUGUGUGUGUGUGCUGCUCUCAUGGCUACAGCAGUGUUUCUUGAACAUAGUUAUUAGCCUUGUUUUUUCAGCUUGUUUUUGCAGCUCAGCUCUCAGGGUUGCCAGAUUGGAUCGGCUGUUGUUAAAAAUCAGUUCUGACUUAAAACGAGCACAGUCCAAUUGAAACCAUAUUUAAUUAAUCCAAAUCAUGUAUCUCUACUAUCAUCAUCAUCAUCUAGGGUGUAUUCCCA
ensembl:lncRNA